rnacentral:rRNA from 1 species
CUUGGUCAUUUAGAGGAAGUAAAAGUCGUAACAAGGUUUCCGUAGGUGAACCUGCGGAAGGAUCAUUACAAGUGAGGCUACCGAACGUUGGAAACAGCGGUUAGGAGCUUACACCCACCCGUGUUUACAUACUAUUGUUGCUUUGGCGGGCCGUGGCCUCCACUGCGGGCUCUGCUCGUGUGUGCUCGCCAGAGAACCAAACUCUGAAUGUUAGUGAUGUCUGAGUACUAUCUAAUAGUUAAAACUUUCAACAACGGAUCUCUUGGUUCUGGCAUCGAUGAAGAACGCAGCGAAAUGCGAUAAGUAAUGUGAAUUGCAGAAUUCAGUGAAUCAUCGAAUCUUUGAACGCACAUUGCGCCCUGUGGUAUUCCGCAGGGCAUGCCUGUUCGAGCGUCAUUUAACCACUCACGCCUAGCGUGGUAUUGGGGCACGCGGUCUCCGCGGCCCUCAAAAUCAGUGGCGGCGCCGGUGGGCUCUAAGCGUAGUACAUACUCCCGCUAUAGAGUUCCCCCCGGUGGCUCGCCAGAACCCCCAAUUUUUUACAGGUUGACCUCGGAUCAGGUAGGAAUACCCGCUGAACUUAAGCAUAUCAAUAAGCGGAGGA